UGGAUAGUCGAUCGUCACAAUUUGAUCAUCAUCGAAAAGGUCUGACCAUCGCAACACAGCCACACAAUAUGUCUGGCCUCUGCGGAUCAUCCACACGAAGCUCCCGGUCUGAUCGGCUCCUCAUGAAUGCUAGUUCGUUGCAGAACCCUUUCGACGGCUGAUAUUGAUCGAACUCUUUCGAUCUUGAUCUAUCGACUUUUUGGAUGCUUUGGAUUGUCAGU
rnacentral:lncRNA from 1 species